rnacentral:rRNA from 1 species
GGGAGGAAAAGAAACUAACAAGGAUUUUCUUAGUAGCGGCGAGCGAAAAGAAAUCAGUUCAGCACUAAGUCACUUUGUCUUUAUGGCAAAUGUGAGAUGCAGUGUAUGGAAUGUUCAAUUUCUAGUAUGAGAAAUUAGCGAUUUAAGUCCUUCUUAAAUGAGGCCAUUUACCCAUAGAGGGUGCCAGGCCCGUAUAACGUUAAUGAUUACUAGAGAGCAUUUCCAAAGAGUCGUGUUGCUUGAUAGUGCAGCACUAAGUGGGUGGUAAACUCCAUCUAAAACUAAAUAUAACCAUGAGACCGAUAGUAAACAAGUACCGUGAGGGAAAGUUGAAAAGAACUCUGAAUAGAGAGUUAAAUAGUACGUGAAACUGCUUAGAGGUUAAGCCCGAUGAACCUGAAUAUCCAUAUGGAAAAUUCAACAUUAUGACUGUGGUAUGAAUAAUACUGCGGGAAUGGUGUGCAUUUUUUCUAUAAAAGGACAUUGUAAUCUAUUAACAUAAUGAUUUAUCAUAAGAUCAUGGCUUAAGUUUAUUCAAAUUAUUAUGCUUGCAUUUUAACAUAGAAUAAGUGCCGUUGAUUCGAUAAAGUGUUGAUAGAUUUAUUAUAUAUAGCGCUUGAAUAUUUAUAUUCUAUAAUGGCAUGGUGAUCAUGAUUGCUGUGUUUAUUAUAUGCGUUUAUAUGAUUAACAAUGCGAAAGAUUCAGGAUACCUUCGGGACCCGUCUUGAAACACGGACCAAGGAGUCUAACAUAUUUGCAAGUUAUUGGGAAUUAGAAAACCUAAUAGCGUAAUUAACAUAACUAUUAUGGGAUUAGUUUUUAGUCUAGAAAUAGUCUAUUAAUUCAAUCCCGGGGCGUUCUAUCAGUUAUGCAUAAUAAUAUUUAUAUUAUUUAUGCCUCUAACCAGAGCGUACCUUGAGCAUAUAUGCUGUGACCCGAAAGAUGGUGAACUAUACUUGAUCAGGUUGAAGUCAGGGGAAACCCUGAUGGAAGACCGAAACAG